rnacentral:rRNA from 1 species
GACAGAGGCCCCGAGCGUUACUCGGAAUUACUGGGCUUAAAGGGUGCGUAGGCUGAUCCGAAAGUGCUUUGUGAAAUCCCCCGGCUCAACCGGGGAACAGCGGGGCAUACUACGGAUCUUGAGGCAGGUAGGCGCCGAGGGAACAGUAGGUGUAGCGGUGGAAUGCGCAGAUAUCAGGAGGAACACCGGUGGCGAAGGCGGGUCUCUGGGCAGUAACUGACGCUGAGGAGCGAAAGCGUGGGGAGCGAACAGG